rnacentral:rRNA from 1 species
UACGGGGGGUGCAAGCGUUAUCCGGAUUCACUGGGUUUAAAGGGUGCGUAGGCGGGUUGGUAAGUCAGUGGUGAAAUCUUCAAGCUUAACUUGGAAACUGCCGUUGAUACUAUCAAUCUUGAAUAUUGUGGAGGUAAGCGGAAUAUGUCAUGUAGCGGUGAAAUGCUUAGAUAUGACAUAGAACACCGAUAGCGAAGGCAGCUUGCUACACAGUAAUUGACGCUGAGGCACGAAAGCGUGGGGAUCAAACAGG